AUGUGAGCACAGUCAGUGCCAACUAUCUGGAGCCUCCAGCAGCCCUGGCCAUCCGACACCUUUGAAAUAAAAGGCAGUGGAUUCCUUUCAUUUGCAAAGUUGAAUUCUAGGGUAUGUAGUUCAAUGACGGAAUUAGGCUUGAAAUACGUUUGCAGGACACAGGUUCAUACAUGAAUGACCCAGCGUGACUCUGGCAUGUGGCUGAAGUUUCCCCAGGGACACCAGGCAGGAGAGCCGAGACUUGACGUCGGCUGGCCUCAAGAGACCUUGGAGUCGGUGAGGACCACGUACUGCCUGGGGAGGCAGGUCUACCUUUGA
rnacentral:lncRNA from 1 species